GGAGCUAGUAAUGGAUUAGAAUAGAGCCCGAAUCGAAUAGAAUCAAAUUUUUAUGACUCGUACUUACAAGGUACAUGAGUACCUAUUAAUUUUUUGAGAAGAAAAUGAUUUACUCCGAAAUCCUCCCUGCAACAUCUGGAGAAAAUCGCCGAAUCCUCAUCCGCGCGGCAGAUGUGAAAUCCCUCAGAAGAAUCGAAACGGAACAUCGGCUGACGAUGGACUUGCACUCGUUGAAGGCGCCAUCCUGGGAAAAGGAGUAAACUUAAUAAAGAGUUUUCUACGAUGAAACAA